ACGACCAACUCACGUUGAAACACCGUUUUCCGUACGAUCACCCAAGUUAAGCAACGUCGGGCCUGGUCAGUACCUAGAUGAGUGAGCGUUUAAGACCAGGUGCUGUAC